ensembl:lncRNA
GCUAGUUGUGCUGCUGUGGGGCUUUCUAUGACCUCUCUCUCUGGGUCAGCUAGUUGUGCUGCUGUGGGGCUUUCUGUGACCUCUCUCUCUGGGACAGCUAGUUGUGCUGCUGUGGGGCUUUCUGUGGUGGUUGUUGUACUGAAGGCCUUCUGGACCACAAGAGGCUCAGGAUCAGUGUCGUCGUUGGGACCAGGACUCUCCUGAGUACCAGUAAUGUUGCUGGCUUUGACCAAGUCAUACUUCGAGGACGGCUCAACUGCCUUGUAUUCUGAAUCCUGUACAGACGCUUCAAUAUGGACCUGAACAGGGUGAGUGUCAGCCACUAUGACAGGAGUGUCUGUGAACUGGUCUGGGAUCAGUUUGACAGGGACAGUACCUUUGGUCUGGUGGUCUGAGACUGGGUUAGGUUUGGCCUCCUUGUCUGAAUCAGACAGGAAGUUGACUUCUCCUGGUCUGGUGUUUUGGUUUGUAUCUGUGUCCUGUCUUUUUCCCCCACCAACAGGGACUUUAACGACAGGCCUCGUGGUGUUGUCUCUCUCAACAUCCCCACUAUCCCAGUCUAAAAUGAAACCAUGGUGACUACGAGAUGGCAUAUUGACUUCUUCAUGACCACGGUUGAAACUAUAGUCCUCUACAGUCCUCUUCCCUUCUCCCUCCUCUGUGUCUGGUCUUUUCUCUCCGCCUAUUUCUCCACCUUUCCCUUUAUUGGUAACAUAGUUGCCAUCACCUGACUUCCUGUUCUCUCCCUGACGCAAACCUCCCGGGGUCCUCUCUGCUCCUUGCGUUACCCCCGGCAACAGUGGUGAAGUUGGGAGUAACGCUGUGUGUUCGUUGUCUGUUUCUAAACCUGGACUGGAUCCUGGCUUCUCCUGCCGAUCUUCAUGUUCUCUUUCUUGUUGCUGAGCAAAGAGUUUUGGGAGAAUCGCUGAAUCUGAUUGAAUAAGAGCUGCAUUUUCAGUCAAAUCAGGUACAGGGGAGUCUCUCUUGGCACAGGGUUCUGUUGGUACUGUUGCUGGCACAGGCAGCAUGGGGUAGAGACUUUGUUCUAACACAGAGGGAGAGGGUAAAUGGCUACAGUCUCCACUGGAACAUAACACGUCCUUAGACGACGCCGGAGGAGCCAGGGGGGGUCCCGGAGGAGCCAGGGGGGGCCCCGGAGGAGCCAGGGGGGGCCAAAUGAGGCCAGAGCCUGGGCUUCCACUGUUCUCGUCUCUCUGGUCCAGCUCAGACAAUAUUUGUGACUCUGUCUGUUUCUGUUCUGAAUGAUAUCUGGUCCCUCCGAUUUCCUGUCCUGUUGUUUGAUCAGUCUCAUUACUCUCUUGUUGUUUACUUGUCCGAUUCCCUUUUCCUUUCUGCUUGUCAUCCUCCUCCAUUUCCUGUCGUUUAUGAGAGAGAUUCUGAUCUCCCUUUUUGUCUUCGUCUUCCGUUUCAUUUUGUCUCCUCUCGUCCUUCCUCUUCCCCUUGUCUUUCUGUUUGUCUCCCCGUUUGUCCUCUGUGUUUACAUUACGAGGCCGGCUGCUGAUUGGCUGCUCAGCACUGGGUGUUGGGCUGUCAUCGUUAAUGACAUUUUUAACGGACACAGCACUACGGGAUAGAUUUACCCUGACAGGCUCUUCUACCUUGGGCUCAGCUCCAAUGUUAAAUGCAUGUAGGGGAAUGGUGUUAUCAGAUCCAGCUGUUGAUACUGUUGUAGCCUGAGAUGGUGAUUUAGAGACUGGG